UGCGUAGGUGGCGCCGUAAGUCGGGUGUGAAAUUUCGGAGCUUAACUCCGAAACUGCAUUCGAUACUGCGGUGCUUGAGGACUGGAGAGGAGACUGGAAUUUAUGGUGUAGCAGUGAAAUGCGUAGAGAUCAUAAGGAAGACCAGUGGCGAAGGCGGGUCUCUGGACAGUUCCUGACACUGAGGCACAAGGGCCAGGGGAGGCAAACG
rnacentral:rRNA from 1 species